rnacentral:rRNA from 1 species
GGGGAAUAUUGGGCAAUGGACGAAAGUCUGACCCAGCAACGCCGCGUGAAGGAAGAAGGCUUUCGGGUUGUAAACUUCUUUUAAGGGGGAAGAGCAGAAGACGGUACCCCUUGAAUAAGCCACGGCUAACUACGUGCCAGCAGCCGCGGUAAUACGUAGGUGGCAAGCGUUGUCCGGAUUUACUGGGUGUAAAGGGCGUGCAGCCGGGAAGGCAAGUCAGAUGUGAAAUCUGGAGGCUCAACCUCCAAACUGCAUUUGAAACUGCUUUUCUUGAGUAUUGGAGAGGCAAGUGGAAUUCCUAGUGUAGCGGUGAAAUGCGUAGAUAUUAGGAGGAACACCGGUGGCGAAGGCGGCUUGCUGGACAAAUACUGACGCUGAGGUGCGAAAGCGUGGGGAGCAAACA